GACGAACGCUGGCGGCGUGCCUAACACAUGCAAGUCGAACGGGAUCCAUGAGAGCUUGCUCUCGGAAGAUCUAGUGGCGAACGGGUGAGUAACACGUGAGAAACCUGCCCUGGAGUGGGGAAUAACUCGGGGAAACCCGAGCUAAUACCGCAUACCCUUGGAUGAUCGCAUGGUCGACCAAGGAAAGAUUUAUCGCUCUAGGAGGGUCUCGCGGCCUAUCAGCUAGUUGGUGGGGUAAUGGCCUACCAAGGCAACGACGGGUAGCUGGUUUGAGAGAACGAUCAGCCACACUGGGACUGAGACACGGCCCAGACUCCUACGGGAGGCAGCAGUGGGGAAUCUUGCGCAAUGGGCGAAAGCCUGACGCAGCAACGCCGCGUGCGGGAUGACGGCCUUCGUGGUUGUAAACCGCUUUCAGCAGGGACGAAAUGACGGUACCUGCAGAAGAAGCCCCGGCUAACUACGUGCCAGCAGCCGCGGUAAU
rnacentral:rRNA from 1 species